UAAUGCCAUCUGGUAUCUGACACAUGGGCUUCUUUUGUGACUAUGCGUCUCGAAAUAUGGCAAAUAACAAGGGGGGGACGGAUCUUGCGACACUGGUUGCUCCUAAAUGAGCCUCCAGUUACUAUAUAGCUGUUUACAUUU